rnacentral:rRNA from 1 species
CGCAUCUGUGCAUGCAGCAUAUCAAUAAGCGGAGGAAAAGAAACUAACAAGGAUUCCCUUAGUAACGGCGAGUGAAGCGGGAAGAGCUCAAAUUUGGAAUCUUCAAGGUUUUACCUUGACGAAUUGUAGUUUAAAGAAGUGUUUUCUGUUGAAGUUUUGGUAAAAGUUCUUUGGAAUAGGACAUCAUAGAGGGUGAGAAUCCCGUAUUUGACCAUUAUUUUCAGCUGUGUGAUACACUUUCAAAGAGUCGGAUUGUUUGGGAAUGCAGUCCAAAAUGGGUGGUAAAUUUCAUCUAAAGCUAAAUAUUGGCGAGAGACCGAUAGCGAACAAGUACCGUGAGGGAAAGAUGAAAAGAACUUUGAAAAGAGAGUUAAACAGUACGUCGAAAUUGUCAAAAGGGAAGCGUUUGACACCAGUGUUGUUUUCUCGAAAAUCAAUUAAAAAGAGUUUAGAUUUUGUUGUGUAUUGACCUUAACAGCUUGCAUUUCAAUUUUCUUGCUUUUUUUAAUGCACUUUUCGUUUAACAAGUCAACAUCAGUUUCUUUUGUUGUAAAAAGGUCAUUGGAAGGUGGCUUUCUUUUCGGAGAAAGUGUUUAUAGCCUUUGACUCCUGCAAUCGGAGAGACUGAGGUCUGCAGCGUAGAUCCUUCGGGGUUAGAUACAUUUGUGCUAAGUUAUAGCUUUUUAUAGACAACUUGUUGACUAUGAUUAGUCUUGUAGCUUACUCGCUUAUGCUAUUUUACCUACGCUUAGGAUGUUGACACACGCGCGUGCUCGAUGAUAGUCUAUACAUGACUCUGUGCAUAUCAAUAAGCGGAGGAAAAGUCAAUACCUACGCUUAGGAUGUUGACGCAUGAGAUAUACGC